AUAAGUUAUCGUUUAUUUGAUAGUCCCUUACUACUUGGAUAACCGUAGUAAUUCUAGAGCUAAUACAUGCGUCAAUGCCCUUUUGGGGUAGUAUUUAUUAGAUAGAAGCCAACCCCUUCGGGGUGAUGUGGUGAUUCAUGAUAAGCAUGCGGAUUGCACGGCUUUGUCGGCAAUGGAUCAUUCAAGUUUCUUCCCUAUCAGCUUUGGACGGUAAGGUAUUGGCUUACCGUGGCUU
rnacentral:rRNA from 1 species